rnacentral:rRNA from 1 species
UAGGGAAUCUUCCACAAUGGGCGAAAGCCUGAUGGAGCAACGCCGCGUGUGUGAUGAAGGGUUCCGGCUCGUAAACACUGUUGUAAGAGAAGAAUGACAUUGAGAGUAACUGUUCAAUGUGUGACGGUAUCUUACCAGAAAGGAACGGCUAAAUACGUGCCAG